AUGAAGGUGUGUUGAGAAGCAUGCUGGAGGUAUCAGAAGUGCGAAUGCUGACGUGAGUAACGACAAAACGGGUGAAAAACCCGUUCGCCGAAAGACCAAGGGUUCCAGUCCAACGUUAAUCGGGGCUGGGUGAGUCGACCCCUAAGGCGAGGCCGAAAGGCGUAGUCGAUGGGAAAAUGGUUAAUAUUCCAUUACUUCUGUGUAAUGCGAUGAGAGGACGGAGAAGGCUAAAUCAGCCUGGCGUUGGUUGUCCAGGUGAAAGGAUGUAGGCAUGUAUCUUAGGCAAAUCCGGGGUACUCUAUGCUGAGAUCUGAUAGCAAGCUGUACUUGUACAGCGAAGUGGUUGAUGCCAUGCUUCCAGGAAAAGUCUCUAAGCUUCAGUUACACAGGAAUCGUACCCGAAACCGACACAGGUGGUCAGGUCGAGUAGACCAAGGCGCUUGAGAGAACUCUGCUGAAGGAACUAGGCAAAAUGGUACCGUAACUUCGGGAGAAGGUACGCUGUUGUUGGUGAUGGAACUCGCUUCCUGAGCUGACGACAGCCGCAGAAACCAGGCCGCUGCAACUGUUUAUUAAAAACAUAGCACUCUGCAAACACGAAAGUGGACGUAUAGGGUGUGAUGCCUGCCCGGUGCUGGAAGGUUAAUUGAUGGGGUUAGCGUAAGCGAAGCUCUUGAUCGAAGCCCCAGUAAACGGCGGCCGUAACUAUAACGGUCCUAAGGUAGCGAAAUUCCUUGUCGGGUAAGUUCCGACCUGCACGAAUGGCAUAAUGAUGGCGGCGCUGUCUCCAGCAGAGGCUCAGUGAAAUCGAAAUCGCUGUGAAGAUGCAGUGUACCCGCGGCUAGACGGAAAGACCCCGUGAACCUUUACUGCAGCUUGACACUGAACUUUGACCUUACUUGUGUAGGAUAGGUGGGAGGCUUUGAAGCUGGAACGCUAGUUCCAGUGGAGCCGUCCUUGAAAUACCACCCUGGUAAUGUUGAGGUUCUAACUCUGUCCCGUGAUCCGGGACGAGGACCGUGUCUGGUGGGUAGUUUGACUGGGGCGGUCUCCUCCUAAAGAGUAACGGAGGAGUACGAAGGUGCGCUCAGCGUGGUCGGAAAUCACGCGUAGAGUAUAAAGGCAAAAGCGCGCUUAACUGCGAGACCCACAAGUCGAGCAGGUACGAAAGUAGGUCUUAGUGAUCCGGUGGUUCUGUAUGGAAGGGCCAUCGCUCAACGGAUAAAAGGUACUCUGGGGAUAACAGGCUGAUACCGCCCAAGAGUUCAUAUCGACGGCGGUGUUUGGCACCUCGAUGUCGGCUCAUCUCAUCCUGGGGCUGAAGCAGGUCCCAAGGGUAUGGCUGUUCGCCAUUUAAAGAGGUACGCGAGCUGGGUUUAGAACGUCGUGAGACAGUUCGGUCCCUAUCUACCGUGGGCGCUGGAAAUUUGAGAGGAUCUGCUCCUAGUACGAGAGGACCAGAGUGGACGAACCUCUGGUGUACCGGUUGUGACGCCAGUCGCAUCGCCGGGUAGCUAUGUUCGGAAGGGAUAACCGCUGAAAGCAUCUAAGCGGGAAGCCUACCUCAAGAUAAGAUUUCCCUAGGACUUUAUGUCCUCUAAAGAGCCGUUCGAGACUAGGACGUUGAUAGGUUGGAUGUGGAAGCAUAGUGAUAUGUGAAGCUGACCAAUACUAAUUGCUCGUGAGGCUUGACUAUACAACACCCAAGCAGUUG
rnacentral:rRNA from 1 species